rnacentral:lncRNA from 1 species
AUGUCAGAAAAUUUCUUGUACAUUCUAUGGGAUAUAAGUAUUGUUUUAAGCCACAUGGGCUCUUACAAACCACUGACUAUUUUUCUUUCUUUCUUUUUUUUCCCAGUGGAAUUCAGUGCGAUCUGUAAGUCGAUGUCGAAGCAGGAGUUUAAGCCCUAUCUGCCCUCGUACCCGUAUUGGUUUAGGCAUGAUAUCUCGAAGCCGGAGUCCUUCUCCAAUAAGAUGUGGAUUGCCAAGGUUUUAAACCCACCAGCCCUUUUCCUCUGCCCAGGACACUCCAAUGGCCAGCUUACCCAGCUCUCCCACCUGUCUGCUGUGCUGCCUCAGACCUCACUUAAGCUAAUGUGACAAGGCACUUCUGUGUAUCACUUCACACAGAGAGUUAAAUGUUUUGGCUUAGUGCAUUUGUAACUGCAGAUACAUUGCAUUUUAUUUUAUUUUUAUAGAUACAGAUUCCAUUAAUUUGAUAAAAACUAUUGCCUAGGUGUUUAGGAUCAUAUUCAUUUGAAGCAAAGUCCAUUAUACAGGUUCAGGAUUCUCAAUCUGAAACACAAGGCUCUUUUAUAACAACUUAAGUGAAAAACUUUUACUGUGCUAUGUCCAAAAGACAAGAAGAGUCGUUUCAAUUUGCAGAGUGAUCAUAAAUAUUGUAAUUGCUGGUUUUAGAUUUAGCUGGGAAACAACCUGGGGUGUUUUUAUUUUCUUUGGGGACUUGGAAGAGAGCCCCAGUCUCAAGUUGGGGAACUUAUAGCAUAACAGGGACGUCAGGCUACAUGUACAUGAUGAUGAUUUAGGAAAGUAUAGUUCAUUGGUUGUCUUCUAUUUUCCUACUGUGGAGUGAAGUGCCCCGUUUGGUUUAGUUCAGCACUGUUGGUUGAAGCUAUCUACUUGAGAGAGUUCUCUUGUUUCAUAAAUGUGGAGUGGUGAUUUGGGUAGGAGCUAACUUGGAGACUAUGUUAGUUACCUUGUGUUUAUCUCCUGGGAAUGUUUCUGAAUGCAGUUUUAAUGUACAUGUUAAAUAUAAAAGCUACCUGACAUUCUGACAUCUUUUACCUAUUCUGCUUAGUUGGUUAUAAACUCAGAUCUCCUAAGAACUCCAUCUGACACUGAUGGUGGGAAUGUAGACUGAUGCAGUCACUAUGGAGAACAGUAUGGAGGUUCCUUAAGAAAGUAAAAAUAGAGCUACCGGUAUAACCCAGCAAUCCCACUCUUAGGCAUCCAACCAGUGAAAAACAUGUAUUCGAAAGGACACAUGCACCCCAGUGUUCAUAGCAGCACUAUUUACAACAGCCAGGACAUGGAAGCAACCUUAGUAUACAUCAACAGAUGAAUGGGUAAAGGAGACUGGUACAUACAUUCAAUGGAAUACUACCCAGGCAUUAAAAGAAUGAAAGAAUGCCAUUUGUAGUAACACGGGUGGACCUGCAGAUUACCAUAUGCUAAGUGAGGUAAGUCAGACAGAAAGAUAAACAUUGUGUGAUAUUGCUUACACAUGGAACCUAAAAAAUGAUACAAAUGAACUUAUUUACAAAGCAGAAACAGACUCACCAGACUUACAGAACAGAUUUAUGGUUACACUGGGAGAAGGGUGGGGAGGGGGAGGGAUAGAUUAGGAGUUUGGGAUUGACUUGUACACACUGCUGUAUCUAAAAUGAAAUGUGUUUCCACUAAAAAAAUAAAGAAAGGGGCAUGCCUGAAAUGCAGAAGAGUUCUCAUUGAAUAGCUGAUUAAUACAUGACAUUUAGCUAUGCUAAACAAUUAAAAAAUAAAAUAGCACUAUUUUUGAUUUUUGCUGUGUGAAAAAUUCAAUUUAGAAAAAUGUACUAAAGAAGAAAAAGUUUUUUUUAAAUCUUAAAAAGAAAAAAAGAACUCCAUCUGACUGAAACUGAAACUCAAGGCUAAAAGCUAAGGGAACCAUUUGUAGCUUUUAAAUAGAACGUCUGUCCCUUGAUUUCUUCACUGUGAAGUACUGUUGAAGAAGUUCAAGCUCUUGAUGGAAUGAUAAGUAAUGUUGUUUUUGCUUUUUUUUUUGUCCGUUUUAAUGCUGUCUUUAAAUGCAAUCUUCGCAAACAGCAACUUUUGCCGUGUGCCUUUUAGAGAGAAGCGCCAAAUCGGUCACAGCUCAGUUUGCGUAAGUUCAGCCAGAACCAGCAGCUGGGGCUAUUUAGGUGAAAACAAAUAAAACAAAACGAAAACCCCCUCAGAUAACAAAAAGGAAAACUUCUCUAAAGCAUCUGUCUCUUGUGUUGGGACACAGGCAAGGGAGAGACCUCUCUAGCCUCCACCCCUUGGUCUAAUGGUCACCAAUUUAUUCUGAAAGUGAAAGUGGAAGUGUUAGUCACUCAGUCGUGUCCGACUCUUUGUGACCCCAUGGACUGCAGCUCACCAGGCUCCUCUGUCCAUGGAUUCUCCAGGCAAGAACACUGGAGUGGGUUGCCAUGCCCUCCUCCAGGGGAUCUUCCUGACCCAGGGAUCAAACCUGGGUCUCCCACGUUGCAGGCAGAUUCUUUACAGUCUGAGCCACCAAUUUAUUCUGAAGUGCAAGCUUAAUUGUUCUCCCCUCUGCAUUUGUGUAGUCAUCAUUUUGAGGCAGGGCCCAGUGCUGAUAGAAGAGCUCAGUGUCCAGGCAGAUCCAGUUUUGACUUGGUCCUCAGCUUGCUUGGUGGCCUGAAGCAAGUUACUGCACCUCUCUGAGCCUCAGUUUCACUGAAGCAGGUGGAUGGGAUCGGUAGUUCUGCUCACCCUCCCAGAGUCAGUGCCUCCUUUCAUAAUAUGUAUUCUGGCCAUUCUGAAAUGAAGUUCAAAAUUAGUAUGAUUAUAGGCAUAUAUGCUUUUAAACAGUGGAUACAGUACUCAAGCUGUAAUAUAAACAGAAAAAAGGGAAAUUUUUAAUAAAACAAUGUAUUUCAAUAAAUGUAUUUUAAUAAUGUAUUUUAAUAAAAGAAUGUAUUUCAACGAAAAGGCUUGGGUAUAAUGAUCCUAGAAGGUACAGUGAAGUCAUCAGACACUUGCACCUGUAUGUAGAAUUACCAGCUACAAAUGCAGAUCAGUGUUCGUUGUAUUGGUGACGUCAGAAACACUGAUGCCAGGGGUUUUCUGAAAUGGUGAACAACUCUUAGUGAAGUUUUGAAUAAUAACUUACGGCAGUGCCUUGAUUUGCAUAGUAAAUACAUGCCUGGCAAAGCUGGUGUAUAUUAAAACCAUAAAUCAAUUACUUUGUGUUAUGGGCUAAAAGGUCUUUUCUAAAAUCUCACUAAGUAAUGAGAAUGCCUACAUAUCAGAAUUUUUUUUUAGGACUGAAAUGUGGGAAUGCACCUGGUUGGGAAAAAUGUUGUAUGUACUCAGUUUAUUUGCUCUGUAUCAUGUCAGGCCGCUUGCCAUUUCCCAAGUCUUUGAUUUGAACUGUAACUGCACGGGGCCUGACAGUUAGUCUAGAAUAAUUUGUGGAAAGGGUCCAAAAACAGAAGGCGGCUGACCUAUACUCAUUUCAUCAAGGCAUGCACCUUAACCUUGGUGACUUUGAAAAAUGAUAAACUUUUAUUGUAACCUGGGUAAAUGUUAGUUAUUGUAUUAUCAGUUUAACCUCUAAUAAUAAAAUCAAGAAAAAAUUCUUCUGUACCUAUAAGUUAUUUGCAAUGAUAUGCUCCCUUGCAGAUUCCUUCAUCU